UAUCUCUUUAACUCACACAUCAUGACUAUGUAUUUGAAGAAAAGAAUUGAAAUGGACUUAACAUGAGAUUGUGCUCCUCUGCCAGGUAAGCACAUGGCUGUUCAGAAGGAAAACACAUUUGUUUGGCUGAAGGAAUACUAAAAUCACUUUCUUCACCUGCCUCCAAGCAAAAAUCCAGAAUGUUAGUAACUAAAGGGCAGUUUUCCAAUUCUAAAAUCUCAGUUUACAUUUUCCCAAAAUAAUCUACUUCAGAAAAACAAUAUGAGAGGAAAAGAGAUUUUAAUUUUUAUGAAGCCAAAAAUAUACAGAAUUCAUCAAAAACCAAAUGCCUCCAAAACCUGUUUUGCAACACAUAAACAAGAAUAACUUUAAUUUAUACUCUAGAAAAUAAAUGUUUUUUAACCAUCUCUAUCUCUCUUACUUGUAUGAUAAGUAAGACAGUUGUCUACCUAUAGGUACAUUUUUCAAAUAGACACAUCACCUCUGAGACCAUGUGCUACAGCAUAGGUUUUAGAAUUCAAAUUACCUGACUCCCCCGGGGCGCGGUGGCUCACGCUUGUAAACCCAGCACUUUGGGAGGCCGAGGCGGGCGGAUCACUUGAGGUCAGGAGUUCAAGACCAGCCUGGCCAACAUGGGGAAAUGCUGUCUCUACAGAAAAAAAAAAAAAAAAAAAAAAAAAAAAACAAGAAUUAGCCAAGCGGGGUGGCAGGUGCCUGUAAUCCCAGCUACUAGGGAGGCUGAAGCAGGAGAAUCACUUGAACCUGGGAGGCGGAGGUUGCAGUGAGCCAAGAUGGCACCACUGCACUCCAACCUGGGAGACACAGCCAGAUUCCGUCUCAAAAAAAAAAAAAAAAAAAAAAAAAAAAUUACCUGACUCAACUCUCAGUCUUAGCACUAACUAGCCGUGUGAUGUUACUUAGCAUCUCUGAGCUUCAGGGAUCCUUACACUAGAGAUAUUCAUUCCAAACUGCAACAGACAUGGUAGACUGAUGACGCACCAGCCGUUCUGCCCCCACUUUUUCCAAGCCAACAGAUCCCUACAUACAAUAGAGAGGCUGAAAUUGUCAGACACUCGCUUUCCCAGCUUCUUGGAAAUAGGAAUAGGAAUGGAACUCCUCUGUGGCCAGUAAAACAUAACAGAAAGUCUACAAGGGUCUUCUGGGGAAAACAUUUUUUUCCCUGGUAAAAUAAAAGAAACACACAAGAAGAAAGAAACAUCUUUCCUCCCUUCCUGUUUUGGGAAGAGCAGGGUGAGGGCAUAAUGCUUACACUCCAUCUUGCAACUGUGAACAAAAACCCAAUAGGAUCACACUGAAAUAGACUCAAAAGCCUGACAACAUUAAACCACUGAAUCAACUCUGUAACUGCCUCCCCCAAGACUUUGUAUUAUGUAAGAAAAAUAAACCACAAUGGUUUAAGCCACAUUUGCUCAGGUUUUAUGUUACUUGCAUCACCAACAUCCUAAUUUCUAUCCUAUUCGCUUAGAGUUCCUGAGAGGAAUAUAUAAGGUAGCUUAAGUGGAGGCUCAGAGGUUAUUAGUGCCUCUGGAUAACACUACCCUUAAUCUUAUUACUUUUCCUGUAAAAUCCAAUUCCAUUUUUCACAAUAGUUUGACUGCUGGUCCAACCACCUACUAGCUGAUUAUUUAAUUUAUCUGGGCCUACAUUUGCUCACUUUUAAGUUACAACUAAUAAUACUUACUUUCUGAGGUUGUUUUAAGAAAUACGCAAACUGGAUGCAGUAUCUGUCACUUGAGGGUAAAUCUAUUGCCAAGUGAAAUGGCAAAAUCUGUUGGAGGCUCAGUUUCAUGAAGUUGACGAAAUUAGGUUGGAAAACUGUUCAGGUUAUUUCCAAAACUAUCCAUAAAUGAGGAUCUGUCAAAGUCAGACAACUGAGCAGUUGAAGAAGUAAAAACAAUAUGAUGAUGAUAAAUAGCUAUUUUGAAAGAAUGUGGUAAUGUAAAAUGGGAUAGCUGCUUUGGAAAACACUCGGGCAGUUCCUCAAAAGGUUAAACAUAGAGUUAUCAUAUGACCCAGCAAUUCCACAUAGGUAUACACCCAAAAGAAUUUAAAACAGAUAUAUUCAAACAAGUACUUGUACAUGCAUAUUAAUAGCAGCACUAUUCACAAUAGCCAAGAGGUGGAAUCAACCUAAAAGUCCAACGACUGAUGAAUGCAUAAACAAUAUGUGGUAUAUUCAUACAAUGGAAUAUUGGUCCGCAAUAAAAAUUGAUGAAACACUGAUACGUACUACAACAUGGAUGAACCUUGAAAAUCUUAUGCUAAGUGAAAGAAGGUAAUCAUAAAAGUAAUAAAAGACAUAUGAUUUAUGUGAUUCCAUUCAUAUGAAGUGUCCAGAAUAAGAAAAUGAAUAAGAAAAUCUACACAGACCAGAAUAAAAAAUCUACACAGACACAGCAAAGAUUGGUGGUUGCCUAGAACUGGGAGUCAGAGGGAGAGGGAACGGGUUUGGUGGGAAUUGGGGAGUGACAGCUAAUGGGCAUGUGAUUUCUUUCAAGGGUAUAAUUAUAAAUAUGUUCUAAAAUUAACUGUGGUAACGGUUACACAACUCUGUGUAAAUAGUAAAACCACUGAAUUGCCCAUUUUAAAUAAGUCAAUUGGGUGAUAUGUGAGUUAUAUAUUAAUAAAGCUGUUUUUUUUAAAGGUGGGGAGGGGAGAAAAUUAUUCCAAUAUAAGAGAAUUGAGAGAGGCUCCUGGAAAAAUAUAUCAACCUUUGAAAAUUUUUGCAAAAAAUGCUCUUAUUUAUAAACAAGUUGCUAGAGUCAAACGUGCAUCGAA
rnacentral:lncRNA from 1 species